GUCUACAGCCAUGCCACCCUAAAUGUGCCCGAUCUCGUCAGAUCUCGGAAGCUAAGCAGGGUCGGGCCUGGUUAGUACCUGGAUGGGAGACCACCUAGGAAAACCAGGUGCUAUAGGUG
rfam:Pteropus alecto contig93090, whole genome shotgun sequence.